rnacentral:tRNA from 1 species
GGAGCGGUGGCUGAGAGGCUGAAAGCAACCGUUUGCUAAAUGGUCGUACGGGCAUAACCCGUACCGGGGGUUCGAAUCCCCCCCGCUCCG